rnacentral:rRNA from 1 species
GACGAACGCUGGCGGCGUGCUUAACACAUGCAAGUCGAACGGAAAGGCCCUGCUUUUGUGGGGUGCUCGAGUGGCGAACGGGUGAGUAACACGUGAGUAACCUGCCCUUGACUUUGGGAUAACUUCAGGAAACUGGGGCUAAUACCGGAUAGGAGCUCCUCCUCCCUGGUGGGGGUGGGAAAGUUUCGGCGGUUGGGGAUGGACUGGCGGCUUAUCAGCUUGUUGGUGGGGUAGUGGCUUACCAAGGCUUCGACGGGUAGCCGGCCUGGGAGGGUGACCACGCACAUUGGGACUGAGGUACGGCGCAGAGUCGUACGGGAGGCAACAGUGGGGAGUAUGGCACAAUGAGCGGGAGCCUGAUGCAGCGGCGCCGCGUGCGGGAUGACGGCCUUCGGGUUGUAAACCGCUUUCGCCUGUGACGAAGCGUUAGUGACGGUAAUGGGUAAAGAAGCACCGGCUAACUACGUG